rnacentral:lncRNA from 1 species
UGGAAUGGAAACAGAAAACAGGUUUGUUUGCUUAUUACAAUUGCUUCCUGGAAACAUGUAGCCUGGGAAAAAUAAACCUUUCUCUUUGAAUGGUGUCCUUGAAUUGCUCACCUACCGAUAGUCACAGGCGCAGAAGUGGAAGACUCAUUGCUCAGCAUGAUCUUCAAAUAGUACAAAGAACCUAUUAUACACAAAAUUUGGGAAGGAUGGAACUGUACCUGGUGUUUAUCUUCACAUAUUUGCAUUAAAACCUAGUGGGAUAUACUUAUUAUUUGUUGUUCCAUGAGUUAA